AUGGGACACGUCGGGUGCGUGGUAUGCGUGUGUGUGUCUGGCCAUGGUCCGACUAGUUCACAGUCUGGGCAUAGUCUGGCCUGUGUCCGACUAGUGUACAGGACAGGUCUGAGUUGCGUGUGUGCGUGCGUAGAUAGAGCAAGGGUGCGGGCGUGUGUGUGUCCGUGUCUGUUGUGGGCUCGGCGCGAUCCCCGUGCGUCGUGGGAACGGCCAGAGCGGGCCGGAUCAAGCGCUUGGACUGGGUGGGAGCAUGGGUCGUGCCCACUACUGGCCCUGGGUAUAAGACCCCUAUGGAGCUCGUUGUAA
rnacentral:rRNA from 1 species